CUCCUUCCACUCCAGGAAACCUUCUUUGGCAUCCAUGUGUUAGGUUGCUCCUCCAAAUAAGUUGGUUGAUGUAAAGCAGAAAGUGAACGCACUAAUCAUGAAAUCCAGAAGGAGCACAAUGAAGUUAAUGUCUAUCUUAACGGAUUUGAGCUCGGUUCUUCUGGGUUGGCUGAUUCCGCUGGAUCCUAAGCUUUAGGCAAUUUCCAUUUGGAAGAUUGAAGAGGUGUUUUUGGUGCUGAAAAACUUAGGAUUGAUGCAAUGUGGUUAUACUACUUUUCCAAAUGUUCCCGCUGAUUUAUGUGGCACCAUUGCUUAGUACUCGUUGAAAUACUAUUAUGU